ACGGGUGAGGAACACGUAGGGACCUACCCUCGAGUGGGGGAUAACCAAGGGAAACUUUGGCUAAUACCGCAUGAAUUCGAGAGAAGAAAGCUGCCACGCAAGUGGUAGCGCUAGAGGAGGGGCCUGCGUCCGAUUAGCUAGUUGGAGAGGUAAAGGCUCACCAAGGCGAUGAUCGGUAACUGGUCUGAGAGGACGACCAGUCACACUGGGACUGAGACACGGCCCAGACUCCUACGGGAGGCAGCAGUGGGGAAUAUUGGACAAUGGGGGCAACCCUGAUCCAGCGAUGCCGCGUGGGUGAAGAAGGCCUUCGGGUUGUAAAGCCCUUUAGGUUGGGAAGAAGUGUGUUGACUGAAUAAGUUAACACAUUGACGGUACCGACAGAAUAAGCACCGGCAAACUCUGUGCCAGCAGCCGCGGUAAUACAGAGGGUGCGAGCGUUAAUCGGAGUUACUGGGCGUAAAGGGCGCGUAGGCGGUUAGUAAAGUGUGAUGUGAAAGCCCCGGGCUUAACCUGGGAAGUGCAUCGCAAACAGACUAACUGGAGUAUAAGAGAGGGUGGCGGAAUUUCCGGUGUA
rnacentral:rRNA from 1 species